UACGUAGGGUCCGAGCGUUUGUCCGGAAUUACUGGGCGUAAAGAGCUCGUAGGUGGUUUGUCGCGUUGUUCGUGAAAACUCACAGCUUAACUGUGGGCGUGCGGGCGAUACGGGCAGACUUGAGUACUGCAGGGGAGACUGGAAUUCCUGGUGUAGCGGUGAAAUGCGCAGAUAUCAGGAGGAACACCGGUGGCGAAGGCGGGACUCUGGGCCGAUACUGACGCUGGAGGUGCGAAAGCGUGGGGAGCAAACAGG
rnacentral:rRNA from 1 species